rnacentral:rRNA from 1 species
CCUACGGGUGGCAGCAGUGGGGAAUAUUGCACAAUGGGGGAAACCCUGAUGCAGCGACGCCGCGUGGGGGAAUGAAGGUCUUCGGAUUGUAAACCCCUGUCAUGUGGGAGCAAAUGAAAAAGAUAGUACCACAAGAGGAAGAGACGGCUAACUCUGUGCCAGCAGCCGCGGUAAUACAGAGGUCUCAAGCGUUGUUCGGAAUCACUGGGCGUAAAGCGUGCGUAGGCUGUUUCGUAAGACGUGUGUGAAAGGCGCGGGCUCAACCCGCGGACGGCACAUGAUACUGCGGGGCUAGAGUAAUGGAGGGGGAACCGGAAUUCUCGGUGUAGCAGUGAAAUGCGUAGAUAUCGGGAGGAACACUCGUGGCGAAGGCGGGUUCCUGGACAUUAACUGACGCUGAGGCACGAAGGCCAGGGGAGCGAAAGGGAUUAGAUACCCGGGUAGUC